rnacentral:rRNA from 1 species
UACGUAGGGACCAAGCGUUGUUCGGAUUUACUGGGCGUAAAGGGCGCGUAGGCGGCGCGGUAAGUCACUUGUGAAAUCUCUGAGCUUAACUCAGAACGGCCAAGUGAUACUGCAGUGCUAGAGUGUGGAAGGGGCAAUCGGAAUUCUUGGUGUAGCGGUGAAAUGCGUAGAGAUGUGGAGGAAUACCGAUGGCGAAGGCAGCCCCCCUGGGAUAACACUG